UGGGCUCGAAAUGCAGUGGACCGGGUGGAAACAUCCCUUUCCGCAAGGACUGCUGCAUAGGUGCUGCAUGGCUGUCGUCAGCUCGUGUCGUGAGAUGUUGGGUUAAGUCCGCAACGAGCGCAACCCUUAUUGCCAGUUGCUACCGGGUUAUGCCGAGCACUCUGGCGAAACUGCCCCGGAUAACGGGGAGGAAGGUGGGGAUGACGUCAAGUCCUCAUGGCCUUUAUGUCCAGGGCUACACACGUGCUACAAUGCCCGGUACAAACCGUCGCAAACCCGCAAGGGGGAGCUAAUCGGAAAAAGCCGGGCUCAGUUCGGAUUGCAGUCUGCAACUCGACUGCAUGAAGCUGGAAUCGCUAGUAAUCGCGGAUCAGCACGCCGCGGUGAAUACGUUCCCGGGCCUUGUACACACCGCCCGUCACAUCACGAAAGUGGGUUGUACUAGAAGUCGGUGCGCUAACCGCAAGGGGGCAGCCGCCCAAGGUAUAAUUCAUGAUUGGGGUGAAGUCGUAACAAGGUAAGCGUAGAUGA
rnacentral:rRNA from 1 species